rnacentral:rRNA from 1 species
UUUCCGUAGGUGAACCUGCGGAAGGAUCAUUGCCGUAAACCUCAACGAGGAGGACCGUGAAUGCGUCAACGAAUGGCGUCGGGUUGGGCUGACGCAGUCCCUGCCCUCGUGGUGCGGACGAUCGACCAAACCUCCGGCGCGAUGGGCGCCAAGGAACAUGAAACUCGUGGGCGGGCAGGACUUCCGUCCUGCCCGUGCCGUAGUUUUGCUCGGAAUCGAAUGACUCUCGGCAACGGAUAUCUCGGCCCUCGCAUCGAUGAAGAACGUAGCAAAAUGCGAUACGUGGUGUGAAUUGCAGAAUCCCGCGAACCAUUGAGUCUUUGAACGCAAGUUGCGCCCGAGGCUUUCCCGCCGAGGGCACGCCUGCCUGGGCGUCACGCCAUCGUCGCUCCGCGCCCCCACGCACGAGUGGUGGCGUCGGACGCAGACACUGGCCCCCUGCGCCCUCGGGCGUGGUCGGCCGAAGAGAGGGGCCGUCGCUGGUGGUCGGACACGACGGAUGGUGGCCACGAGCAAGCCGGACGUCGUGCCCCCGCCGUGGAGAUGAGCUCCGGAGGACCCCCCCACCCCCGCAUAAUCAUUUGCCUCGGAUUGCGACCUCAGGUCAGGCGGGGCUACCCGCUGAGUUUAA